UGCGUGUUUCAUCACUGCUGUGGGCGCUCGAUCAGUACUUCUCAAAACAAAGAAUGAAGGGUGCAGGCUCUUGCCUGGCUCUGAGCCUCAGCUUGCCCUAUUCUAAAAUGGGCGAGACAAUGGGCCAGUCUCCCUUCUUUCCUCCCUCCUCUUGCUGGCUGGAGCACAGACAUGGAGGCUGGAGCUACACAGCCAUCUUGGACCAUUAGGCGACCUUGGGAAUGGAAGUUGCGCAG
rnacentral:lncRNA from 10 species